rnacentral:rRNA from 1 species
GGCGGACGGGUGAGUAAUGCUUGGGAAUAUGCCUUUUGGUGGGGGACAACAGUUGGAAACGACUGCUAACACCGCAUGAUGUCUACGGACCAAAGUGGGGGACCUUCGGGCCUCACGCCAAGAGAUUAGCCCAAGUGGGAUUAGCUAGUUGGUAAGGUAAUGGCUUACCAAGGCGACGAUCCCUAGCUGGUUUGAGAGGAUGAUCAGCCACACUGGGACUGAGACACGGCCCAGACUCCUACGGGAGGCAGCAGUGGGGAAUAUUGCACAAUGGGCGCAAGCCUGAUGCAGCCAUGCCGCGUGUGUGAAGAAGGCCUUCGGGUUGUAAAGCACUUUCAGUAAGGAGGAAAGGUUAAGUUUUAAUGGAGCUUAGCUGUGACGUUACUUACAGAAGAAGCACCGGCUAACUCCGUGCCAGCAGCCGCGGUAAUACGGAGGGUGCGAGCGUUAAUCGGAAUUACUGGGCGUAAAGCGUAC